CAAAUUCGGUGGGGCCUGGAGGGAGCCUGGUGCCAAAGCACAGCUCCAAAACGAUCCUCCUGGAGCCAGCAGGGAGAAUGGGUUUGCCCGAGCAGAAAAGGAGCUGAAGCGUGGAGGUGACGGCAAGCUGGCUUCCCUGCAGGAACAAGAGAGCAGAAGCGGAGCGCGUGCGGAUAAUUAGAGGGCAGAACAUAACGGGUUUGUGGCCAUGGUGGCGAGAAUAGCAGGAGGAAGGGAAGCAAAGCAAGAGGAGCACUCAGGGUUUUCAAGACGCAGAGUUAAGUGAAGCCUCCUGACUGCCUGCAUUAGGAGAAGCGGGGAGUCUUCCUGUGGGAGCUGGCAGUGCUGGGCAUUGGUCCCUGGGCUGGAGUGGAAGUGGGUUUUGAAGUCCUCACUACUGAUGAGGGAAGAAGUAAUGGUGGAAAACAGCAAGGAUCACCCAACGGCAUGGAAAGCCAAGCACCUCCCACCUCCAGACUUCAUCAAAUAGCUGGCCCCAUCCCAGAGACGCUCCUGGUGUAUGGAGGGAGCAGCAAACACACUGUCAUUGGGCAGGCAGGACAACACCUGGACAAUCCCUGCACCCCACAGAGGCUUCCCAACACAGCUGGGCAAGGAGGAAGGAUGGGGUCAGCCAUCACUUCAAGCAAGAAGCAGCAGGACUCAUCCACCCUCAGGCUGCCCUGCAUCAUCUUGGAGAUGAGACCCCAGCGCCCCACCAGCCCAAGCUUCACACAGUGCAGCAAGCCAAAACCAGAUUGAUUUCUGCCAUCCCUGAGGACUGCCUGAUGACUGUGGCUGCUCUCACCACCGUGUUGGUCUUCCAUCCCCACUAAGAGGCCAAACCUGAGGAGGGUCUUGUUUUUAUUAACAUGUUUUACAUCUUUUCUAACCUCUCUGCCAGCUGGACGGCCGUGCUUCCAGGGCAAUUACAUGCAUCAUCUAAACAUCAUCUGAAAUGAAGGGACUUCAUUUAAUUAGGUUAUUUAAAUGACACGUUUGAUGGGAAAAGCCAAGCGGGCUUAGCAAAACGUUUAACGAUCACGUUAGCUUGCAUGCAUACAGAACAUUAUCUGAAAUUAAUGGCAAGACUUCUGUUGGCUCCGGAGGCUGCAGACCAGAUGUGGGCAGAGGGUGACAUGGGGAGCAGCCACUGGAGCCGACCUGGGAGCAUGGGCACCAUCCUGUGGGCUCUUACCACUGCUCUGUGGGUUUCCUCCCCCUCUACAAACAGCACUUCUGCAAUUUUCACCUAUUUGUGUUAUUAUUUUUCCCUCCUGCUAUUCCCUCUGUGCAGAAAACAAGUCCAAAAGAGGCUUUUAAAAGGGCAAAUUCCUUCCCUUCAGCAAAACCAAACCUGAAAGCAUGUCUCCGUGUUGAAAAAGAAGAAAUCUGGUAUUUCGUACCAAAACAAACAGCAAUUUAGUUCAAUUCUUUCAACUCCUUCCUUGCAAAUCCAAAAAGCCCAAACCAAAGGGCAUGUUUUUCUAACAACUUGUUUGCAAAGUGUGACAGAAAAUAUUUCCCAUUUCCUCAGCCUUUAAGAAGCUCUGCAGGUACAAAAGGCAGAACAUGCCCAGCUGGGCAUCUGCUGAUGGAAGGCACAACCCAAGGAGUCACACUGAUGAGCACAGCAUUAAAAAUAGCUUUGCCCAGACAAGCUGCAUGUAACCUUGUCAGAUGCUAUGCAAUAAAAUUCUGG
rnacentral:lncRNA from 1 species